rnacentral:rRNA from 1 species
CCUGGCUUAGGACGAACGCUGGCGGCGUGCCUAAUACAUGCAAGUCGAACGGUCUUUCUAUGGAAGCUUGCUUCCACUGAGAAGAUAGUGGCGAACGGGUGAGUAACACGUGGGUAACCUGCCCAUAAGAGGGGGAUAACAUCCGGAAACGGGUGCUAAUACCGCAUAGUUUUCUUGAUCGCAUGAUUGAGAAAGGAAAGACGGCCUUUGUGCUGUCGCUUAUGGAUGGACCCGCGGCGUAUUAGUUAGUUGGUGAGGUAACGGCUCACCAAGACGAUGAUACGUAGCCGACCUGAGAGGGUGAUCGGCCACAUUGGGACUGAGACACGGCCCAAACUCCUACGGGAGGCAGCAGUAGGGAAUCUUCCGCAAUGGACGAAAGUCUGACGGAGCAACGCCGCGUGAGUGAAGAAAAGGUUUUCGGAUCGUAAAACUCUGUUGUCAGAGAAGAACAAGUUGGAGAGUAACUGCUCCAGCCUUGACGGUAUCUGACCAGAAAGCCACGGCUAACUACGUGCCAGCCGCUGC